AAGCAAGACGAGCAAAAGAAAAAAAAAAACAGUUAUUCUUGUUUUCUUGGUAUCAAUCCUUAUUGAAAACUGCACAAGAAGUGCUAGCAAUUGCAAAUAACACGGCACGCGUGCACCUAAAAAGCAGACAGGUUUUUCAGUUGGGUGAUUCUAAAGAAGCAAGCCAAAAAAAUGAAUUAGGUGUUUGAAAUACCAGGAAGAUCCACCAGAAGGUAAUGGCCCGCAGAGUCCUGUGUCCAUCCAGAAUUAGGUACUAUCUGUUGUAGAACUGGAGUUCCUGCCGACGUUCUUCCUCCAACCAUUCUAUCACCCCUACCACUGGCCAUUCAGAAAGAAUGUUAUAUUUUGCAUGCAACCUGCGAAUGGUUAUGUUAUUUGGUUCGAGUAAUUCCUACUCAGGAGAUCAAGUCAUGAAAGCAACUCUGGUUUUCCAUUGUUUCAAACCAGGCUUGGUUCGGAGGAUGCCAACGGUGCAGAGGGUUUUCUUUCAUAUGGUCAACAAUGACUACAAGACAAUGGUUUAUGUAUGAAGUUAAUCUUGACUUUAUCCAUCAGUGUCUCGUAGAUUGGCAAAACAUGAAGCUUUUAGCUAUUUCGAGUAUUAUGGACUGUUGUAAGUGAUGAAAUCAUAACAAUGUUGUGCCUCAAUUUAGGCAACAGUGGGAUUUAGAACCUUAGUUUAUAGAGGAUAUCGUAUCUGAGAUCAGAGGGUAACUAUAUGGUAUAAAUCGAACCUUUCUUUACCAUCGUAUCUGUA